rnacentral:misc_RNA from 1 species
UCUCCGUUGGUGAACCAGCGGAGGGAUCAUUACAGAGUCGUAAAACACUCCCAAACCCAUGUGAACUUACCAAUGUUGCCUCGGCGGACCUACCCUGUAGCCAGCUACCCUGUAGCGACCUACCCUGUAGCCGCCGGCGGACCAAUAAACUCUGUUACUUAUAAGCAAUCUGAGCGUUUUCCAAAAAUAAAGUUAAAACUUUCAACAACGGAUCUCUUGGUUCUGGCAUCGAUGAAGAACGCAGC